GACGAACGCUGGCGGCGUGCCUAAUACAUGCAAGUAGAACGCUGAAGAGAGGAGCUUGCUCUUCUUGGAUGAGUUGCGAACGGGUGAGUAACGCGUAGGUAACCUGCCUGGUAGCGGGGGAUAACUAUUGGAAACGAUAGCUAAUACCGCAUAAUAGUAGAUGUUGCAUGACAUUUGCUUAAAAGGUGCAAUUGCAUCACUACCAGAUGGACCUGCGUUGUAUUAGCUAGUUGGUGAGGUAACGGCUCACCAAGGCAACGAUACAUAGCCGACCUGAGAGGGUGAUCGGCCACACUGGGACUGAGACACGGCCCAGACUCCUACGGGAGGCAGCAGUAGGGAAUCUUCGGCAAUGGACGGAAGUCUGACCGAGCAACGCCGCGUGAGUGAAGAAGGUUUUCGGAUCGUAAAGCUCUGUUGUAAGAGAAGAACGAGUGUGAGAGUGGAAAGUUCACACUGUGACGGUAUCUACCAGAAAGGAC
rnacentral:rRNA from 1 species